GUGGGGAAUAUUGGACAAUGGGCGAAAGCCUGAUCCAGCCAUGCCGCGUGUGUGAAGAAGGCCUUUUGGUUGUAAAGCACUUUAAGCGAGGAGGAGGCUACUUGGAUUAAUACUCUAGGAUAGUGGACGUUACUCGCAGAAUAAGCACCGGCUAACUCUGUGCCAGCAGCCGCGGUAAUACAGAGGGUGCGAGCGUUAAUCGGAUUUACUGGGCGUAAAGCGUGCGUAGGCGGCUUUUUAAGUCGGAUGUGAAAUCCCUGAGCUUAACUUAGGAAUUGCAUUCGAUACUGGGAAGCUAGAGGAUGGGAGAGGAUGGUAGAAUUCCAGGUGUAGCGGUGAAAUGCGUAGAGAUCUGGAGGAAUACCGAUGGCGAAGGCAGCCAUCUGGCCUAAUACUGACGCUGAGGUACGAAAGCAUGGGGAGCAAACAGGAUUAGAAACCCUGGUAGUCC
rnacentral:rRNA from 1 species